rnacentral:lncRNA from 1 species
UAUUUAUUUAUAUGUAGUGCUGAGGAUCGAACUCAGAGCCUGACACAUGCCAAGCAAGCUCUCUACCUCUAAGCCACAAUUCCAGCCCCUCUAUUGGGUUUUCAUUUUAAGAAUUCUAGUUUGCAAAGAGGUGGCAAAGAAAUGAAAAAAAAAAUUUGACAUAUUAAUUCUGGGUGCCACAUAAUAUAGUCCAGUGAAAAUUCUUCAGAUUUUUAAAAUAGCUUUUCAGUUUCCAUGUUAGAAUUAACACAAGGGAACUUGCAAUCCUCCUGCCUCAGUCUCCUGAGCCACUGGGAUUACAGGCAUGUGCCACCGCACCUGACCCUUCUCUCCUAUUUUACCAGGAAAAAGAAAGUGUGGGUUGGGGAGCACACAUUCUUAACAUUCACUGUUAUCCUAGCCUGGUUCCCCUUAUGUUAAGCUGUACCUAUCUUCAUCAUUUGGUCUCAGCCUGGGUACUUGUGAUACAUAAACUAUUCUCAACAACCUGUUGUCUCUGGUAUUCAAAUGUUGGAUCAGGGGA